rnacentral:rRNA from 1 species
GACGAACGCUGGCGGCGUGCUUAAUACAUGCAAGUCUACGAGAAAGGGGCUUUCGGGCUCUAGUAAAGUGGCGAACGGGUGAGUAACACGUAGGCAACCUGCCGACAGGAGGAGGAUAACCUUGCUAAAGCGGGGUUAAUACUUCAUAAUGCAACGGAUCCACAUGGAUGCAUUGUUAAAGUGGGGGAUUCUUCGGAACCUCAUGCCUGUUGAUGGGCCUGCGUUCCAUUAGUUUGUUGGUGAGGUAACGGCUCACCAAGACUGCGAUGGAUAGCCGGUCUGAGAGGGCGAUCGGCCACACUGGGAUUGAGAUACGGCCCAGACUCCUACGGGAGGCAGCAGUAGGGAAUAUUGCGCAAUGGCCUAACGGCUGACGCAGCAACGCCGCGUGACCGAUGAAGCUUUUCGGAGAGUAAAGGUCUGUUAGAGGGGACGAACGGUUCAUAUUCGAAUAGGAUAUGAAUGUGACGGUACCCUCAGAGAAAGCUCCGGCUAACUCCGUGGCAGCAGCCGCGGUAAUACGGGGGGAGCUAGCGUUGUCCGGAAUCACUGGGCGUAAAGAGCGCGUAGGCGGGAAGGUAAGUCUGAAGUGAAAUUUGUCGGCUCAACCGGCAAACUGCUUUGGAUACUGCCUUUCUUGAGUCAAGCAGGGGAAAGUGGAAUUCCUGGUGUAACGGUGAAAUGUGUAGAUAUCAGGAAGAACACCGGUAGCGAAGGCGGCUUUCUGGGCUUGUACUGACGCUGAGGCGCGAAAGCGUGGGGAGCAAACAGGAUUAGAUACCCUGGUAGUCCACGCCGUAAACGAUGAACACUAGGUGUUGGUGGUGUAAAAGCCAUCGGUGCCGAAGCUAACGCAUUAAGUGUUCCGCCUGGGGAGUACGAUCGCAAGGUUGAAACUCAAAGGAAUUGACGG